ACGCGGGAAUCUUACCGGGUCCGGACACACUGAGGAUUGACAGAUAUAUACCCGUGAGUACUUCGGUGCUCGCGGGUUGAAAGAUGCUAGUUCUUUCAUGAUUAUGUGAUAGGUGGUGCAUGGCCGUUCUUAGUUCGUGGAGUGAUCUGUCUGCUUAAUUGCGUAUCAAUAAUAGAGACCUAGUAUACGCGUAGACUCAUGCGGUAGUGACCCCCCUUCACAGGGCGCGUGUCGCACGUAUGUUAUACGCACAGGUCUCCGAUAGCAACGAACGUGACCGUACUCUAUUGUUGCAGCGACAAUACCUUUCAACGGGUAUUACCGCUGCUUAGCAAGAUUCGUCUUGCAUUAAACUAUAGAGACCGCUGUUUCUUCUUUAAACCAGAGGAAGGAUACGGCAAUAACAGGUCUGUGAUGCCCUCAGAUGUUCUGGGCUGCACACGUGCUACAAUGAUCAUUGCACUGUGCAUCUAACCCAAUGUGCGCGGACGCCGCCGUGCGUAUAUACUUUAUUGUGUAUGCGUAUCGUGCGUGCGACCGCGCCGAACCUGCUUCGAAAGUAAACAUUUCCAGCGGGUAAUCCAUUAGAAGUAAUGACUCGCAUAGACCAUGGCACACUAUAUGUACCCGCGGGUUCUACCCGGCUCGCCUUUGUGUGAGUGCAGUGCGUANCUCGUUGUUUGGUACGUGCCACUCCGUAUUAAUUCAUACGUGGGGAUAGAUCAUUGUUUAAUUGUUGGUCUCGGUCUUAACUAGGAAUGCCUUGUACGGG
rnacentral:rRNA from 1 species